rnacentral:lncRNA from 1 species
AUCUAAUUCACUUCCUCUAUUAGGUUGUCUUAAACUUCAGGGCAACAUUUGUUUUUUUCUUUAAUAACUCGUAAAAGGAGUUAUAAUCUUUGAACCUCCACUCUUAGUCUAGAGAAUAGGAGAAUAAUCACCCCACCAUAAAUAGGUUGGUUAUGUGAGUCUUUUAUUUGGUAAAACAAAUGGAUACUUGAACAUGACAAAAUUUGUU